rnacentral:rRNA from 1 species
UYUUAUGGAGAGUUUGAUCCUGGCUCAGGAUGAACGCUGGCGGCGUGCCUAAUACAUGCAAGUCGAGCGAACGGACGAGAAGCUUGCUUCUCUGAUGUUAGCGGCGGACGGGUGAGUAACACGUGGAUAACCUACCUAUAAGACUGGGAUAACUUCGGGAAACCGGAGCUAAUACCGGAUAAUAUUUUGAACCGCAUGGUUCAAAAGUGAAAGACGGUCUUGCUGUCACUUAUAGAUGGAUCCGCGCUGCAUUAGCUAGUUGGUAAGGUAACGGCUUACCAAGGCAACGAUGCAUAGCCGACCUGAGAGGGUGAUCGGCCACACUGGAACUGAGACACGGUCCAGACUCCUAC